AGUAUGCAGAUCAGGACCUGCUUUCUUGCAGCUAAAACACAAGCCGCACCUCUACUUGCUGUUGCCAAAAAAAAAAGUCAACUUGAUUUCAGUCCAGUGUUCCUUAGAUAUAUGGCCAUAACUAACGUGAUGUUCAGAUACCUUUGUUGGGUAAAUGUAAAAGUACAACACAUGAAUUAUGCUAAAACACAGGCGGGAAGCAAACCUUGUGUGCCUAAAGAGGCUAUGGCAUGCAUAUAACUAUGAAUGCUCUAUAGUAUCUUGCUAGACUAGAUACCAUGAUAGUAUCUAUCAUCAUGAACUUGUAGAUAGUGGUUCUCAGUCCGUAACUCAGACUGUUAUGCACCAACCAUAAGAGAGAGAUUAUUCUUUCUGUAUUUGUCUAGGAAAUAUAGAUUCAUCCUUUUCACACUUUGUCCUCUCAAUUGAUUUAAAGGGAAACCUAAUACUUCAGCAUUUUACUUCUUCAACAGAAAAAUAUUCUUCUUUGGAGCAUGCUUUUGCACUUCUUCAAUCUGCAGGAACAAACAUGAAGUGGUCUAUUAAAGAGGCACAAUGUACCUAUGCCAGUCACAUUUAAACUUAAGAGUAGGUUCUCAGCGGAAAUGUAGUAAGGAGCAUGGACAGGAUUAAUUCAGUUCCACUACCCAGCCAACAAGACAAACUGUUGCUGACAUUGGCAAGUUUAUCAAACAUUGAUACACAAAGGAAAGAGUAGGGCAACAAUAAGUUUCCAGACAUCCACAACUGCAAAUGGACAUGGUAAGAAGCUCAAAGAAAAAAAUCUUCAGAACUAUACAAUUGAUGGCAUCACAAUGAAUUGAUCCUUAGCAAAAAGUAUGACAGUGUCAAAAUGUUCUUACCACUAACUAACAAGGGAGGAACCAUAGCAUGGGGAAUGCUGCGAAGCUUCUCAUUCUCCGUCUCCAGGUUUAAUAUAGGGUCCUAGAUGUGUAGUUUCACUGGGUUAGUGUUUUAAACGUGAGAACACUAUAACCAUCCAAAUGUCCACACAAAAUAGAAGCAAAAAUGGCAGUAGUAACCCAUUAGGGCCAUCAAAUGCACAUUUCUUAGCCUACAUACAAGUACAAGACUAGCUGUCAAGAUAUGUUGGAACUUUUGCAAUAACGGUAAGGCAGAAAGUAAAACAUCGUUCGAAAUCAUAAGCAUGUAAUAGCAUGUAUAUGCAUUAUGCACAUAAGAGGAAAAACAAAGCUGCUUCUACUUAUGCUGAUGAGGAGAGCAGAAAAAUAAUAAAUAGAAACGACAAAAGAACAAGCGUUUUUAAAGCCGGAAUAUUUGUUCAACUGGACAAACUGGUUGCA
rnacentral:lncRNA from 1 species